CGUUAGAGCAUUGAGAGGACCUUUCCCUAGUACGAGAGGACCGGGAAGGACGCACCUCUGGUGUACCAGUUAUCGUGCCUACGGUAAACGCUGGGUAGCCAAGUGCGGAGAGGAUAACUGCUGAAAGCAUAUAAGUAGUAAGCCCACCCCAAGAUGAGUGCUCUCUCCUCCGACUACCCUAGAGCCUUCGGUAUCACAGCCGAGACAGCGACGGGUUCUCCACCCAUACGGGGAUGGAGCGACAGAAGUAGCGGUGAGACGAGCCGUUUAAAUAGGUGUCAAGUGGAAGUGCAGUGAUGUAUGCAGCUGAGGCAUCCUAACGAACGAU
rnacentral:ncRNA from 1 species